GUAGUCUGAUGCCCUUUGGCCUUGUGAUCUGAUCCUAAUGAGAACUUUUUUAUGUGGCCGUUCACACCGCAUUUUAUGAAGGACACAUAUGAAGACAGACGCUGUGGCACGGUUAGUGUGAAGGAUAUCCUGGAUAUUUCACAACUCAUUUCCACUUCUACCAACAGUUAACAGACUGUUUUCAACGGCAAAGCUGUAUCGUCUUGCGAAAUCUAAGGGUAAAACUCAUGAAACUUUUCAUUUAUUAUUUAGUUAUCAGGCUUAAAGCAUAUUUUACAAUGAAAUAUUUACUGCCUAAUAAUGAAUUGUGAGCAGUUAUGAUAGUCCAGAAUGUGGAGGGUCCUGCCAAGUUAAAAGGGCUAAUGUUGUUUUUGUCUAAAUAUUGUAAUCCUGUUUUUAAAAAAAACCUGAAUACUGAAAUACAUAACAAUGACCAAAAAAAAGCAAGCGCAUUACUCAUUGUUAAUUUAAACCAUUAUCAAGGUAACAUUUACAGUCAAAAAUAUAUCUUAAAAAAAGAUGUUAUGUUGAGUAUUCAAAAGACUCUCUCUCUCUCUCUCUCUCUCUCUCUCUCUCUCUCUCUCGCUCUCGCUCUCUCUCUGACCCUGACAUACACACACACACACACACACACACACACACACACGCACACCACCACACACAGAGUUACAUUGUAAACAGUAUGAGCCGUGGAUCACUGCUGACUCACCACCUGUCGCCCAGGUGCAAGUCCAAGAGACCGGUUCAGCUCGGGUAGGAGUCACAGCCAGGGAAAACAACCCACAUUUCUCUCAGUCGCAAGCAUCCCAGCACGUCUCUUCUCACAGUGAUCUUACUACACCAUUUUACAGCAGUAUACUAACGCAACCUACUGUUAGAAUGAAAUAUCAUUUCAUCUAUCCAUUCGUAUCAAUCAGCAGCAGCUCCUGGGCGCCAUUAUUUCUUUCCAUCAGGUACUCAGUAGGAGUGAGUGAUUCACAAGUCUAUCAAAAGGACAAGUGGGAACAACUAACUAAUACCACAUUCACUCUGAUAAAGUCCAUUGUGUGUUAUUUUCAAAGCAUACACGUGUGUCUGUGCUAUUGUAUGUGUGUGUGUGGGUGUGUGGGUGGAUAUUUGAACCGCAGAAUGACUGGACCGACCAUCUGGGCCUGGAGAAGUCGGCAUGCUGUCAGUGUUUCAUCCGCCCUUCUUGUCAAGCUCUAAUCCUGCAGUAACCCAGAAGCAGAUGCCACCAGCACGAGGGAGGAAUAGUGAGAAGGAGCUGCAGUACAACGUUAAGCUAUGUCCAGCCUGACUUAUAUAAACACUAUAGGUGUUAAUUCAACAUUGGGGAUUCUGCUUUAUACAUGGCAGAUGGUUGUGUGAUUUGUAUUUGUGAGCACCUCACUGCUGCCAAAAAUAACAAAAUAUAAUAACAAAGAUUAAAAUAAAUAAAUAAAUAAAUAAAUAAAGUUCAAACAGUUGCAGCACUUUUGACCUAAAUUUGUACAGGGAGUAGCUUUAUGAAAGCACUAUCAGUUCCAAGCAGAAGACAGGAGUGCUUGAUUAAGUUCUAUAUUGUUCAUGAUAACUGUAAUAUUACAAAGUGCUUCAAGAAUUAUAGUGACUUUUUUUUCUAUGCAGAAUAAGAUCCUGCUGUGAAUUUAUGCGUAUUGGAAACAUACCACAGAGAGCGAUCUGGCACUGUCAAGCUUGCUUUCCAUCAUUUUCCUACAAAUUCUUAAUUACCUACCCCUAGGAUAGACAGGCAUCUGAACAGCAAUUUAACAGUGUUGACUAGCACAAUGUCUUUUGACAAUUGAAGCAGCAAAAAAGGUGAUGCCAGAGCGUAUUAAACAUCACUGGUUUCUUUUCAUAAUAAUCUGUGCAUUGAUGGCUAUUUCAUACCACAGCGCUGUUGAGUUGUUGAAUCUCAUUGGCCAGAUGGUGUUGAUUAAUUUUCCAUAACAUCAUCUCUGACAAUAGUGCUGUCUGUAAUUUAAAUGAUUAUUCUAAUAUGAUAUCAUUAGCAACUUGUUCACAGAGAUGUGUAUGAUGGAUGAUCUGCAUAAUCUAAAUCUAAUAAUAUAGAGAUUACCCUGCUGGAAAAAAAAAUCUAUAGAAACCAUCAAAGAAAUUCUAAUGGUUUCCACUACUAAUACCAUUACAAGCCAUCAAACCAGUAAAGCCAUUACCAUUACCAUUAUUGGUCCUUAAUGGUAUCCACUAGACAUAACAUGCCACCAAUAGUAGGCAACAAAUUACUAGUAAAAACCCACAGGGACCAUUGCAGUUUCCAUUAAAACCAUUACAAUUACAUUCCUAUGAGGGAUUCUAUUGUAUUGUUUUUUUUCAGCAGAGUAAAAGCAUGUUAUAUAACAAAGACAAACAUAUCAUUAUUAAUAUGGGGAAGUAAGAACAAUUAUUUAGCAUUAAUAGAAUGAGUCUUGAUUUGCCAAAUUGCAAUCUUUGGUAAAUCACUGUGGAAUAUAAGAAGAAUAAGACACUUAGAGAUGUGCUCCUAUAGGAAAAACAAUACACGUGGGGCAUUAUACCACCCUGUCAUGGAUUAUUUUCCUAUAACAGCACAUCCGAGUAUGUUUUAUUCCUUAUUUAUUAAACCACUUAGUAGGUAUAUAAUUACUGACUUAAGCCCAUCUGUUGCACAAGACCACCACAUAAUUUCAUUGGUGGUCUGUUCUCAACCAAGCAAUGAUAUUGAGGUUAUACAAAACCCCAGCAACACUGCUGUACCAGAUACAUUCCUGCCAGAAUUACAUACACACUGUCAUGAUGCUGUAGUGAGAAAAAUCCCCCACCAAAAUAAUAUCAGAUAAAUGGUGGUCCUAUAGUGUUCCUGUUCCCCUCAUGGAUAAAGGCAAGCGUGACUAAUAAUAUACUGAGCUUAUGUGCUUUACUCACAAAAGUGCCCUAAUCAACUUUAAUGAAUUAAAUUUUGCUUAAAACCAUUAGUGUGACAUUUAGCAGAAUAGACAAUUGCUACAUGGAAGGCUGAUCAUCUUUUUCAUAAUCUCUGACCGUGUGGCACACUUCAGACUGCUGUCUGUCCACUUCUUUUCUCUCAGUUCCAC
ensembl:lncRNA